UCCGGGAUAGUGUAAUGGCAGCACUCAGGUCUUUGGAUCCUGCUGUGAAGGUUCGAGUCCUUCUCCCGGAG
rnacentral:tRNA from 1 species